rnacentral:lncRNA from 1 species
UUCGAACCUUUAAAAGAUUUAGCCAGACAUGGUAAUACCAACAAUCACAACGAUAUUGAUCAUGAUGAAAAGUUGUUUUAGACUGUGAGGCGUAAAGAACGAGUAAAGCGCGUAAAAUAAAUAAAAUAAAGCGUAGAAAUAAAUUAAAUAAAAUAAAGCAUAGAUAGAAUUUAAAUAAAGUAAAGAGUACACAGAAAUUAAAU